UUGUCCAUUUAUGUUGCCUUCAUGCUAGAAAGCAUACAUGUUAAUUUAUUCAACUAGUCCAGUUAUCACCCUAGAGCAUGUUCAUACCCGUUCACUAACAUAUCUCAACCUUGAUAUUUAUGUGAGAGGUAUGAAGAGAUACUGGCUUUUGCUCUUUUCAUCUCUGUUUGUGUUUGUGCCCUUUUUUUUUUUUUCCGAGUAUUAGGAUGCUACAUGUGAUUGUCCCCUUUAUGCAUCUAGUUGAUCUCUGUCUAGCGCCCCA
rnacentral:misc_RNA from 1 species